GAUGAACGCUGGCGGCUUGCUUAACACAUGCAAGUCGAACGGUGAACGAGGGAGCUUGCUCCCUCCGGAUCAGUGGCGAACGGGUGAGUAACACGUGAGCAAUCUGCCCUGGACUCUGGGAUAAGCGUUGGAAACGACGUCUAAUACCGGAUACGAGGCGUGGGGGCAUCCCCAACGCCUGGAAAGAACUUCGGUCCAGGAUGAGCUCGCGGCCUAUCAGCUUGGUGGUGGGGUAACGGCUCACCAAGGCGACGACGGGUAGCCGGCCUGAGAGGGUGACCGGCCACACUGGGACUGAGACACGGCCCAGACUCCUACGGGAGGCAGCAGUGGGGAAUAUUGCACAAUGGGCGCAAGCCUGAUGCAGCAACGCCGCGUGAGGGACGACGGCCUUCGGGUUGUAAACCUCUUUUAGCAGGGAAGAAGCGAAAGUGACGGUACCUGCAGAAAAAGCACCGGCUAACUACGUGCCAGCCGCCGCAGUAAAAC
rnacentral:rRNA from 1 species